GACGGAGGAUGCAAGUGUUAUCCGGAAUCACUGGGCGUAAAGCGUCUGUAGGUGGUUCGAAAAGUCCACUGUUAAAAAUUGAGGCUUAACUUCAAAGAUGCCGUGGAAACUUUCAAACUAGAGUAUGGUAGGGGUAGAGGGAAUUUCCAGUGGAGCGGUGAAAUGCGUAGAUAUUGGAAAGACCACCGAUGGCGAAGGCACUCUACUGGGCCAUUACUGACACUGAGAGACGAAAGCUAGGGGAGCAAAUGGGAUUAGAACCCGUACCG
rnacentral:rRNA from 1 species